rnacentral:misc_RNA from 1 species
AACGGUCUAUACCUGCGGUACCUGCGGAAGGAUCAUUACCGAGUUUUCAACUCCCAAACCCCAUGUGAACUUAUACCAUUUACAACCGUUGCUUCGGCGGGUUCUCGCCCCGGGCUUUACACCCCGGAACCAGGCGGCCCGCCGGGGGACCCAAACUCUAGAUUUAUAUUUUAGCAUGUCUGAGUGGAAUCAUUACAAAAUGAAUCAAAACUUUUAGCAACGGAUCUCUAGAUCGGAAGA